UACAGAGGUGGCAAGCGUUGUUCGGAAUUACUGGGCGUAAAGGGCGCGUAGGCGGCCUUCUAAGUCAGACGUGAAAUCCCCCGGCUUAACCUGGGAACUGCGUCUGAUACUGGGAGGCUUGAGUAUGGGAGAGGGAUGUAGAAUUCCAGGUGUAGCGGUGAAAUGCGUAGAGAUCCGGAGGAACGCCGGUGGCGAAAGCGGCCACCUGGGUCUGACCUGACGCUGAGGUGCGAAAGCGUGGGGAGCAAACAGG
rnacentral:rRNA from 1 species